AUGCUAUUUACAUCGGUUGAUUAUUUUAACGAUCUAGAAGCUAAGAAAUAAUAGAAUUCUAAAUCUUUUCGGUACAAAACAUCAUUUUGAUCAGAUUUUUUAAUAAUUUGUUAACUUUAUUAAGUAGUGAAAUUCUUUUUUUUUUCCUAUUAAAAUGGCUCUUUAUUCUGCUAAACAACUUCUCGACGAGUUAAUGGGAAGAGAUCGAGAUUUGGGUUUAGAAGAGAAAAAGAAUGAUUUUACAUGGGAUGGACCCGAUGUCUGCAAGCAUUUUCUUGUAAAAUUCUGUCCUAAUGACUUAUUUGUAAAUACAAAAGCUGAUUUAGGAGUCUGUCCUAAAAUACAUGAUGAAAGGCUUAAGAAAGAGUAUGAGAAGAGCUCUCGUUUUGAAAAGAUGGGCUAUGAAGAAGAUUUUCUGCGUUUUUGUCAAAGUAUGCUCUCAGAUGUUGAAAAACGUAUAAGACGUGCUAGAGCUAGAUUAGCUCUAAGUAACAAAGAAUCAAAUGUUUCACAACCAGCACAAGUCAAGAAUAAUGAUGAAAAAAUUAAUGUUUUAACUGAAAGAAUUAAUGGACUUUUAGUUCAGGUUGAAAAUUUAGGUUGUGAAGGUAAAGUGGAAGAAGCACAAGGUAUCAUGAAACUUUGUGAGCAACUUGAAGAAGAACGUUCUGCCCUUAAGAAAGCUUCUGAAGCAAACCAUUGGUAUCAGACUGCAGAAAUUGCUGCUGCACAAGAAAAACAGAUGGAAGUUUGUGAGGUUUGUGGUGCGUUUCUUAUUGUUGGUGAUGCUCAACAACGUGUGGAUGAUCACUUAAUGGGAAAACAACAUGUAGGAUAUGCACGUUUAAAAGAAGCUGUUGAUGAAAUACUGAACAAGCGAGAAAAGGAAAGAGCAGAGAGGGAAAAGCUGCGUGACAGAGAGAGAGAAGAGCGCCGUAGAUCCUCAAGGGAUGAAGAUCGUAGGAGAGAAGAAAGGCGAAGGAGAGAUGAUGGUCGUCGGCGUGAAUCUGAUAAACACAGAGACAGAUCCAGGAGGCGUAGCCGUAGUAGAGAUCGUGCCCACAGCAGACAUUCACAUCAAAGCAGAAGUAAAGAUAGAGAUUCUCAUGGUAAAAGUAAAGACAAAGAGAGGUCCCGCAGAAGAAGUGAAAGCUCAGAACGUAAAAGACAUCGCUCCCGGGAGAGUGGACAUCAUUCAAAAAGAUCCAGGUCACACUCCAGUGAACGUAGAAGGGAUAAGGAGAGGAAAGAAAAGGAGAAACGAGAACACAGACGAUCAUCUCAGGAAAAUGGUGAAUCAUCCGAAAGGACUUUCAAAUCAGAAGACAAUAGUAAAGGAUGCCAUUCCUCAGGUGAUUGACCUCUGAUCUAAUGUCCAUUUUUACAGGUAAGUAAAUUCUUUUCUCUAUAUGGUGGUCCCUUAGUGAAGCUGAUUUCCUUCAUCCUUUCUGUUAUGCAUAGGUGUGUAAGAAGAUUGGAUUCAAAGCAAGAUAUUGAAUUUGGCAGACCUUCGUGUUCACUUUUCAGGUAUUUGCGACCUUUAAACGCGAGAAAGGGAAAGGAAUAAAUAAGAAUUUCUUAAACCAAACUAAAUUUAUCAAUCAAUAGCAUUAAUUCAUGCAUAAUUUAGAAAUAGUAAUUAGAAUUUUUUUAGAUCUUGUACAUUUAUUAGUGGUUAUUGGUUAAACUGUUCUAAUAAAAUCAAAGAUACUGCAGGUUAUUUUAAAUAUUACAAAGUUCAAACAUGGAUUUUUCAAAGUUUUGUUUGAUAUUUUAACUAAGAUCUUUUGGGGAUUUGGUUUAAAAUUAUUUAGUUUUGACUUAGUUUGCAAAAUAAUAUUAUGUGUUUAAUAAAGAAGCGUGUUAGCAUUUAAAUUUGGAGAAUAAAUCAAAAUAUAUAGUAGAAACAGGAAGAUUAAAGAUUUGUCUUUGAUUUGUGUUACAGCAUCAAUCUUUGUUAAAUUUUGAUAAAGCAAAGCAAACAGCAUCUAACUUUUGUAUAUAAAUAAUCAUAAUAUUCCGUAAAUGAUAUCCAUCUUUCAUCUAAUUAAGUUAUAAAAAAAUAAAUAUAUUCAUUUCAUUUUUUUCCAAGUUAUAAUUCUGCACUUUGCACUAAAAUUUAUAAGUAUUUUAGAAUGAAAUAAAAGGUUGAGAUAUAAAAGAAUUAUUAGUUUAAUUCUAAUAACCUUAUUUUAACAAUUUUAUUAUGACUUUGGCUUUAAAAAUACGAAUUUAAAAUGAUUAAAUCUGCCUAAUUAGGUUUAUGCUAGAAUGUGAUAUUAAAAAUUAUGUAAAUAUUAAGAAAUGAGAUGAAAGGGAUGUGUAUUUUAUACUACUAAAAACUAUUUAUCAUAAUUAUCACUGAAGAAAAAAAAAGAUAUGUAUAUAACCUGCAGUCAUCUUAAAAGAUGGGUGUGACAGCCUUUUUUUAAUGGUGUUCUUAAGGAAUAAGUUUAUUAUUUAUGAAAUACUCUAUAAACAUAUUGCAUGUAGUAACAAGUUUAUUAUUAAAGAUUAUAAAAAUUACUUGUCUUAAAUCCUCUUACGGCUUAUACUUCAGUGGCAAUUGAUUUUAAAUGACUUUUCCUUAGACACCAUUUCAACUUCAAUAACUGUCUUGAGUAAACAAUUAGGCACAUUUACACAACAUUUUGCUAAAUUCCCCUAACACUUGUAGUUCGUCAGUUUAACAGGUGUAUUUCUGUCUAAUGGUGCGUCCAGCUACUGGAACAUCUGUUGGUAUAGUGUCUACUCUACUUGUUUCAAUAUCCGGAGCCUUAAAUUACAGGUGAUUUCUUUUUUUACCACUUGUGGCGAAUGGAGAAAUAUUUGCUUUAAUUUCUUCUAUUCACAAGAUAUGUUUCAUCAUUACAUUAUCAUAUUAUUCUUUAUGUGCUUCUGUGAUUCACAGAAAAAGGUUUUUAAUAUAUGUACAUUUAAUUUCAAAAAUAUGUUUUAAUAAGAAUUUGUCAUGUGUUAAGUAAAACAAAGGUGUGAUUUUAUUGCAUUUUAAAGAAAUUUUGCUGCUUCUUGUUUGUGUAUCCUCUAAAUUUAUUUUAUUAAAUAUGAAAUAAAUUCGAACUCUUUACAGUUUUUUUCCUUUGGUAAAUGAUUUAUCUUUAUUUUUAACCAAAAAAAAAAAAUGUUUAUGGUGUAUUUGAUUAAAGAGUUGUUGAAAAUUUAUCUCCAAUAUUCAUAUAAUUUAGUUAAUAUUCAGGCAGUUUUUUCAAAAUAAUAUUUUAUUUAAAGAUCAAUUGUAUUAUUUAUGCUGGCAACAAUAUUUAUUUACAAUAGUUUAAAAAUUCUGAUUCAUCAAGAAAUUACAGCACAAUCAAAAAUAUUUUUAUAAAGAUAAAUCACCUUUAUUAUUUAAAUAUAGAUUAAUUCCUUUGGGCAUUUUAAAGUAGAUUAAAAAGUAUGAACUAGAAAAUUGAGUUUUUUUACGUAAAUGAUCCUUUAAAGAUAUUAAAUUAUUUAUUGCAUAAAAUUUCAUUCGUUAUUUAAAGGAAGAGAUGUAAUUAAGUUUACAUAAAUCUAAUUAAUAUUUAUUUAAACUUACAAGAAACUAACAAUCAGUAUAUUUUUCAAUAAAUCUUACUAGUUCAAAUGGUUCCAGUCAUGCAUACUUAUGCUUUGUGAGCAAUAUCUGCACGUUUCAGACAUAAUAAAUAUGUGAUCAAAGUAAUUAGUUUUAUUGUUAGAAAGUGGAUAUCAAAAAAAUAAGCUCAUAUUUCAUUGCAAAGUAUUUAGGUUAAAAAAAAAAGGUUUUAUUGCUCUGUUAGUGAAUUAACAUGUCUUAAUGUAGGAUUAGCUGCCAGAUGCUAUUUGUCGGACCGUGGCAAGUAACUGAAGUACUUAUGAAGAUGUCCUGGUGGCUUCUAUUUUUAGAGCAUUGUAAGUUCCUAAAGAAGAGGAAUGGAUCACUGGCAGGUGAAAAGUUUGUCAUCUCCUAGUGUGAAAAUUAUAAUGCUUUUAGUUGUAGUGAUUACCAUAUAAUUAUGUGUAAUUAUGUAUCAUUAUUUAGCUCAUUAUGUAAAAAUUUGCAUUAUAUAUUCCAUUUGUUUUCAAUAAAAAAACAUUGGUAGAUAAUUUAUAUUAAACA